UAAGGAAUAUUGGGCAAUGGAGGCAACUCUGACCCAGCAACGCCGCGUGAAGGAAGAAGGCCCUCGGGUUGUAAACUUCUGUUAUCAGGGAAGAAGAUAGUGACGGUACCUGAUGAGAAAGCUCCGGCUAACUACGUGCCAGCAGCCGCGGUAAUACGUAGGGAGCAAGCGUUGUCCGGAUUGACUGGGCGUAAAGGGAGUGUAGGCGGUUUGGUAAGUCAAAUGUGAAAGCCCGUGGCUCAACCACGGAAUUGCAUUUGAUACUGCUAGACUCGAGUUCGGGAGAGGUAAGUAGAAUUCCUAGUGUAGCGGUGGAAUGCGUAGAUAUUAGGAGGAAUACCAGUGGCGAAGGCGGCUUACUGGAACGACACUGACGCUGAGGCUCGAAAGCGUGGGGAGCAAACAGG
rnacentral:rRNA from 1 species